UGGCGACCGGCGCACGGGUGAGUAACACGUAUCCAACCUGCCGAUGACUCGGGGAUAGCCUUUCGAAAGAAAGAUUAAUACCCGAUGACAUAGUUCUUCCGCAUGGUAGAACUAUUAAAGAAUUUCGGUCAUCGAUGGGGAUGCGUCCCAUUAGCUUGUUGGCGGGGUAACGGCCCACCAAGGCAUCGAUGGAUAGGGGUUCUGAGAGGAAGGUCCCCCACAUUGGAACUGAGACACGGUCCAAACUCCUACGGAAGGCAGCAG
rnacentral:rRNA from 1 species